CCAAACUAGGCAAAUUAGCUCCGUAACUUCGGGAGAAGGAGUGCCCCUUUUUGAUAAGGAGGGGGCCGCAGUGAAUAGCGUCAGGCGACUGUUUAACAAAAACACAGGUCUCUGCAAAGUCGAAAACGACGUAUAGGGGCUGACGCCUGCCCGGUGCCGGAAGGUUAAAGGGAGAGGUUAGCCGCAAGGCGAAGCUUUGAACUGAAGCCCCGGUGAACGGCGGCCGUAACUAUAACGGUCCUAAGGUAGCGAAAUUCCUUGUCGGGUAAGUUCCGACCUGCACGAAUGGCGUAACGAUCUGACGACUGUCUUAACAAUCUGCCCGGCGAACUUGUGGUUCCGGUGAAGACGCCGGAUGCCCGCAUCAAGACGGAAAGACCCCGUGCACCUUUACUAUACCCUAUCAAUGAACUAUGGGGUGCUCUGCGCAGGAUAGGUGGGAGGCUUGGAAUCCGGGUUCUCGGACUCGGAGGAGCCAACGGUGAGAUACCACCCUGAGCAUUCUGUGGUCCUAACUUAUCCGGGUGAAUCCCCGGAAAGGACAUUGGUAGGCGGGUAGUUUGACUGGGGCGGUCGCCUCCUAAACGGUAACGGAGGCGCUCGAAGCUUGGUUCAGGAGGCUUGGAAAUCCUCCAUCGAGUGCAAAGGCAUAAACCAGGUUGACUGCGAGACCAACAAGUCAAGCAGGUGCGAAAGCAGGACUUAGUGAUCCGGUGGUUCUGAAUGGAAGGGCCAUCGCUCAACGGAUAAAAGGUACGCCGGGGAUAACAGGCUGAUCGGAGUCAAGAGUUCACAUCGACGCUCCGGUUUGGCACCUCGAUGUCGGUUCAUCGCAUCCUGGGGGUGUAGAAGCUCCCAAGGGUUAGGCUGUUCGCCUAUUAAAGCGGUACGUGAACUGGGUUCAGAACGUCGCGAGACAGUUCGGUCCCUAUCUGAUGUGGGCGCAGGAGAUUUGAGGGGGCUUGUCCUUAGUACGAGAGGACCGGGAUGAACAGACCUCUUGUGAUCCUGUUGUCACACCAGUGGCACAGCAGGGUAGCGAAGUCUGGUUAGGAUAAGCGCUGAAGGCAUAUAAGCGCGAAACCUUCCCCAAGAUGAGAUCUCCCAAGCGAAAGCUAAGAAGGGCCGUGGAAGACGACCACGUUGAUAGGCUGGAUGUGUAAGCGUAGCAAUACGUUGAGCUGACCAGUACUAAUCGCCCGUUCGGCUUGACC
rnacentral:rRNA from 1 species